AAUGAAGUGCCGACUUUUAGGAUUACUCUGAUAGAGUAAAUUAUGUAAAAAUUAUUACCUUCAUUA
rnacentral:tRNA from 1 species